rnacentral:sRNA from 1 species
GACUUGGCAUUGGGUUGUUCUAAAGAGCCUGCCCGAAGCCUUUGGAUCAGCAUGCAGGACUAUGCUGUUAGUAAAGAUUGGGACAGUGCAACUUUAAGUAAUGAGUCACUCUUGGACACUGUGUCUAGAUUUGUUCUUGCAGCUCUUCUGAAACACACAAAUUUACUUAGUCAAGCAUGUGGAGAAAGCCGAUAUCAACCUGGUAAACACUUAUCAGAAGUGUACCGUUGUGUAUACAAAGUUCGAAGUCGUUUACUUGCUUGCAAGAACCUUGAACUUAUUCAAACAAGGUCAUCAUCACGGGACAGAUGGGUAAAGUUUGAAAUCAAUUAAUUUCUAUGUUUUUCUGCAAGCUGUGAGAGCUAGCUCUAAAUUGGUUUAUGUGAGAAAAAAAUGUGCCUUGGUUAUUGCAUAUGUUCAAUACAUGUUGAGUAGUUCUUUUCCUAGUAGAAAAAAA